GUCCACGCCGUAAACGAUGGAUACUAGCUGUUGGGAGUAAUCUCAGUUGCUAAGCGAAAGUGAUAAGUAUCCCACCUGGGGAGUACGUUCGCAAGAAUGAAACUCAAAGUAAUUGACGGGGGCCCGCACAAGCGGUGGAGCAUGUGGUUUAAUUCGAUGAUACGCGAGGAACCUUACCAAGGCUUAAAUGUAGAUUGACCGUUUUGGAAACAGAACUUUCGCAAGACAAUUUACAAGGUGCUGCAUGGUUGUCGU
rnacentral:rRNA from 1 species